rnacentral:rRNA from 1 species
GCAUAUCAAUAAGCGGAGGAAAAGAAACCAACAGGGAUUGCCCUAGUAACGGCGAGUGAAGCGGCAACAGCUCAAAUUUGAAAUCUGGCGCAAGCCCGAGUUGUAAUUUGUAGAGGAUGUUUCUGGCGACGUGCCUUCCGAGUUCCCUGGAACGGGACGCCAUAGAGGGUGAGAGCCCCGUACGGUUGGAUGCCUAGCCUCUGUGAAACUCCUUCGACGAGUCGAGUAGUUUGGGAAUGCUGCUCUAAAUGGGAGGUAUACGUCUUCUAAAGCUAAAUACCGGCCAGAGACCGAUAGCGCACAAGUAGAGUGAUCGAAAGAUGAAAAGCACUUUGAAAAGAGGGUUAAAAAGUACGUGAAAUUGUUGAAAGGGAAGCGUUCAUGACCAGACUUGGGCAGGUUGAUCAUCCGUGGUUCUCCGCGGUGCACUCUGCCUGCCCAGGCCAGCAUCAGUUCGCCCCGGGGGAUAAAGGCUUUGGGAAUGUGGCUCCCUCGGGAGUGUUAUAGCCCACUGUGUAAUACCCUGGGGUGGACUGAGGUUCGCGCUCUGCAAGGAUGCUGGCGUAAUGGUCAUCAACGACCCGUCU